UGUAUAUGUCAGUUGCAGGUCUUUCUAGUUGUGGGAUGAGGGACGCCGCCUCAACGUGGCCUGACUAGCAGUGCCAUGUCUGUGCCCAGGAUCCGGACCCAGGGCCGCCACAGCAGAGCGCGCGAACUUAACCACUCGGCCACGGAGCCGGCCCCGGCUUGGAAGCCAAGAGUCUGAAGCCAAAGUGCAAAUCAGUAACAGCUAUUCCUGGUGGAGGACAGGAUGUGCGUACCACCUAGCACGUUGUAUAUUCACAGACAUAAAGGAUGCACAAAACAUGCCACGCACUGCAUUUCUGCGCUAAUGCAUAGGAGGCUAAUGAUAAACUCUUCGCUCACUCAAUGAUUUGGUAUUCAUGUUUUGACUCAAAAUUUAAUGCCUUUCCUGAAGUACAUUGUUUUAAAUGUAUUUUUAAUCCUGUUAAAGGAGUAGAAGCAGAUCAGAAAUAAAAAUUCCAUUAAUAAAGCAUAUAGUCAGAGAUACUAAGUUCAUUAAUUUAUAAUUCUGUAAAUCAUAAUUUACUAACUCUGAGAAAAUUGGCCUAGUGACCCACACUUAAUUUUGCAAUCUAUGUUCACUAUCCAUGUAUAUGUAAGCACAUAAUCAAAUCUUCUUAUAUUUAUUGGAUCUGACAAAAUUCUUUAAAAAAA
rnacentral:lncRNA from 1 species